rnacentral:rRNA from 1 species
UCGGGAAUUUUGGGCAAUGGGCGAAAGCCUGACCCAGCAACGCCGCGUGAAGGAUGAAGUAUUUCGGUAUGUAAACUUCGAAAGAAUAGGAAGAAUAAAUGACGGUACUAUUUAUAAGGUCCGGCUAACUACGUGCCAGCAGCCGCGGUAAUACGUAGGGACCAAGCGUUGUUCGGAUUUACUGGGCGUAAAGGGCGCGUAGGCGGCUCUGUAAGUCACUUGUGAAAUCUCUGAGCUUAACCUGGAAGGGUCGGUUGAUACUGUCGAGCUAGAGUGUAGAAGAGGCAACUGGAAUUCCGUGUGUAGCGGUGAAAUGCGUAGAUAUACGGAGGAACACCUGCGGCGAAGGCGGGUUGCUGGGCUAACACUGACGCUGAGGCGCGAAAGCUAGGGUAGCAAACGGGAUUAGAUACCCACGUAGUCCCUGAGCGGGCUGGCAAGGCGCAU